GACGAACGCUAGCUACAGGCUUAACACAUGCAAGUCUUGAUGGCGACCGGCGCAAGGGUGCGUAACGCGUGAGCAACUUGCCCGUUUCUGGGGAAUAACCGGUGGAAACGCCGACUAAUACCCCAUAGUAUCAAUUAAAGGCAUCUUUUAUUGAUUAAAGAAAUUCGGAAACGGAUAGGCUCGCGUGACAUUAGCUAGAUGGCGGGGUAACGGCCCACCAUGGCGACGAUGUCUAGGGGUUCUGAGAGGAAGGUCCCCCACACUGGAACUGAGACACGGUCCAGACUCCUACGGGAGGCAGCAGUGAGGAAUAUUGGUCAAUGGUCUGACGACUGAACCAGCCAUGCCGCGUGAAGGUGACGGCCCUAUGGGUCUUAAACUUCUUUUGUAAGGGAGCAAUAAGUUCUACGUGUAGAGCGAUGAGAGUACCUUACGAAUAAGCAUCGGCUAACUCCGUG
rnacentral:rRNA from 1 species